GCUUACACCAGUAGUAAGGGUUUCUGCUGUCCUUCUCAGACGGCCCCAGGGGUACCAUGGUAACAGUGUAGGUCACUCUGGCCAGAGCCAAGUGGGCAUAGUGAGCCUGGGGCUGCGAGCCUGAAUCUCAAUUUCAGUGAUGACUUUUGUGAAAUGAACUUGGUGAGCAGUUGGAAUUCGAUCACCUCUUGGCUUGAAUGAAGCUGGUAAAUUAAUCUGAGGCCAGAUGAUACGUGGUGUCUACUGAGUAACACGUGAUCGCGUUGUUGAUGCCCCUCUGAAAAAAUGCUGUCUGGAAGCAUUGCAAGUUCAGGCCAGGCUGAGAGACAUAGUGAGGCCCGGUCGCAGUCCACGCUUAGAAAGGCCUGGGGAGGCUCAGACUGCUCACCAGCAUGGUCACCUGGUAACGAGCCCCUGUGGCCGGCCACUGCUGUGCCGUCCAGCCAUCGAAGCACACCGGUCAGGAGGCACAGCAUAGCGUCCGACAGCGGGGACACCGGCAUCGGAACCUCCUGCUCUGACAGUGUGGAAGAUCACUCAACGUCCAGCGGCACGUUAUCAUUUAAGCCCAGUCGCUCGCUUGUCACCCUGCCCACUGCCCAUGUGAUGCCGUCCAGCUCCAAGCACAGGGACUCACUGGCAUCCAAUGGCUCAAGGUGGAGUGCGGGCCUCCUGCAGGCGCUGGGUGACCACAGUGGUGGCGAGCGGGACUCUUGUCUGGACAUGAAGGGCUCCCGGCCCCUCCGGAAGUGGUCGUCUCUGUCCAGACUGCCUGCCCCCGAGGGCUGUGGCCCGGAUGGCACUGUGCAUGUGGAGCAGUGGAGGACCAGCCUGGAGAAGCCUGGGCGGGGCAAGGCCUCCGCAUCACAGUGGAGGACGGCGGGGCCCAGCUGCCUGCAUGACGGUGUGGAGGUGUUCAGGCUUGAGGACAAGGAGAGAGGCAGCCGACGGGCGUCAGCGCUGGACUGCAAGUACAAGUUUGAGAGCUGCAGCCCUAAGGAGGACUUUAGAGCCUCCUCCUCCGCUCUCCAGAGGCAACUCCUGGACAUGACAUACAGUGCCUUACCCGAGAGCAAGCCCCUUGCGUCCGGUCCAGACGCUUUUGGGUCACCCAAGUAUUUAGUGCUUGGCCAGCAGUCAGUGGGUGGAGUGCCCAUCCAGCCUUCUGUGCGGACUCAGAUGUGGCUCACGGAGCAGUUACGGACAAACCCUCUGGAAGGCAGGACUGCGGAGGACGCCUACAGCCUGGCUCCCUGGCUGCAGCAGCCUGGGGAGGAGCUCCAGCCGGGCAGUGAGGCCCCACCGCAGGGUCUGGCAGUGGUGUCUCGGCAGCGUCACUCGCCAUCUGGCUUUCAGGAUUUCAGCAAGUGGGAAUCGAUGCUGAAGAUAAAAGAAGGACUUCUGAGGCAGAAGGAGAUCGUCAUCGAUCGGCAGAAGCAACAGAUUACCCACCUCCAUGAGAGAAUAAGGGAUAAUGAAUUACGGGCACAACAUGCAAUGUUAGGACAUUAUGUAAACUGUGAUGCUCCUUAUAUGGCUAGUUUGCAGCCGCAGUUCAAGCGCACCUCCCCGCAGGCCCCGUGUGCAGAGCCAGCAGCCCAGCCCCAACCCGAGGGCCUGGAGCAGAAGCUCACAUCUGCUGAGAAAGAGCUUUCGCAGCUCAAUGACUUUCUCACACAGAGAAUCAGUGAGUUCGGUGAGGAGAAGAGGAAGCUGGAGGAGAAGCUGCAGGUUCUAGAAGAAAAAAAUAAAAAUUUGCAAGAGGCUUUGAUAGAUACAGAGAAGAGGCUUGAGGAGAUCAAAAAACAAUGUCAAGACAAAGAGGCACAGUUAAUAUGCCAGAAAAAGAAGGAGAAGGAGUUAGUAACCUCCAUUCAGAGUUUGCAGCAAAAAGUAGAAAGAUGCCUUGAAGAUGGAAUCCGCCUUCCCAUGUUAGACACAAAACAGCUUCAGAGUGAAAAUGACGAUCUCAGAGAACAAAGCGAGGCGGCCAGCAAGAUAAUAAGUAGCCAACAAGAUGAAAUUAACAAGAUGACUCUAGAACUUCAGUCUGUCCAAGGGAAGCUUUCUAAAGAGAAGUCAGCCACACAGAAGAUGAUGGAAGAGCUGGAGAGGAAAGAAAGACACCUCCAGAGAUUAACAAAAGUGCUGCUUGAGAACCACAGACAGACAGGAGAACCCCACUGUCUGCUGGGCCUGGGCCAAGGCCAGUGUGAGGAGGCAGAGCCGCUGAGGCAGCAGCCAGCGCCUCCCUUGCGGCCACUCUUGGACCUGGCGGUGAUCGAUCAGCUCUUCAAAGAGAUGUCCUGCUGCCUGCUCGACUUGAAGGCACUGUGCAGUAUUCUCAACCAGCGGGCCCAGGGCAAGGAGCCCAAUCUCUCCUUACUGCUGGGGAUCAGGUCGAUGAGCUGUUCAGCUGAAGACACGGAAACUGACCACAGCCCAGAAACGCUCAGUAAGAAGCUGUCCGAUGUGUGCCAGUUACGGAGGGACAUUGACGAGCUGAGGACGACGAUAUCCGACCGCUACGCUCAGGACAUGGGCGACAACUGCGUCACCCAGUGAGGCGUCGGCCGGUGCUGCUGCGCCAGCUCCUCGUGGUCCUUCCUGCAAGUCCGACGGGAAGGUCUGCCCACGCAGCGCACAUCUCACGUCCAGGGCUGGUGGAGGUGCUGGCCGUGCUGUUCCGGGGCAGGAACCUGCCUAGUCUCUGCAGCUGCUCCAGGCCCUCACAGUCCUGGGUUUGGGCUUCCUUCUGCCAUCUUCAAAGCAGGACACGGCCGUGUACGCUCACCUUUUACUCACUCAGCCUCGAAUGUGACUGCCGUGAAUCUCACAGGUACAAGUCCGCCCUCACAAGAUGUAACGGGACCACGCAGGAAAGUGAACAGAAGCCCCAGAGCACACCGCACAGAGCGCGGGUGCGUCUGGACCUGUCAGAGCCUCAACACCGGGUGCUGGGAAGCAGAGGCUGGGAGAGCACCUGAGACCUGAGUGCCUUGCCCAGCUGGAGACAGUGAAGGAAGAGAGGAGGAAGCAGGUGAUAAUGCCAAGGGGAAGACAUCCUCCCUGUACCCAGAGGACAGCAGCCUUCUUCUCACUAAAGACAAGCUGGCUUUAGGAGCCUGGCCUAAGGUUGUGUCCUCCUGAGGAAUCAGGAAAUGACCUCUGUGUGGCAGGAGGCAGUGUGUUCAGGAGCAGACUCUGCCUUGGGAAGGAGGCAGCAAUGGGACCACACGCAAGAAUCUAUAAGGACUGAACCUAGAUGUUACAUGCUGUAGUGAGGUGCUGGCACCUUGACCUUGGACUCCAGGGAGGUCACACCUGUCAGCCAGUUCAUAUUCACCUUUGACUGGGAGGACCCAGAGACAGAACGAAAAGGCCAACUUACCUGGACCUGUCUUCCACAAGGUUUUAAGAACUCUCUCAUACUUUUUGGGGAAGCACUAGCCACUGAUCUAGCCCAAUUUCCACACACUGAUUUUAACUGCACCCUGCUACCAUAUGAAGAUAUAUGUUGAUAUGCUGCUCAGAUAAAUCAGACUACUGGAAGGGAACAUAAGCCCUUCUCCACCACCUGCUGACCACCGGCUGUAAAGUCUCCUGGAAAAAGCUCAGAUAUGCAGGCCAAAAGUGCAUUAUCUAGGAUUCCACCUAGAAAAAGGACUCAGACAUCUGGGCCCAGAGAGAAAGGAAGUCAUUUGCUCCAUCCUAAGACCCAAAAAUAAAAGAUAGCUUAGAGAAUUCCUAGGGGCUGUAGAGUUCUGCCAUAUAUGGAUACCAGGAUUCACUGAAAAGCCUAAGCCCCUCUAUGACGUGCUAACAGGGAAGAAAGUAGAAAGAAAAUUGUUAAAUUGAACUUUAGAACAAACUGAAUCCUUCCAGACCAUAAAACAAAUACUGUUGACAGCUCCUGCUCUGGGCAUCCCUGAUGCAACCAGACACUUUAACCUGUUUGUGGAUGAACAGAGACAUGUAGCAUCAGGGGUCCUUAUCCAAAAGAUUGGUCCUUAGGAGAGCCUUGUUGCAUAUUUAGAUUCUGUAGCUAAGGUCUCCCUGCCUGACAGCAUUGGUAGCAACCAUCCUCCUGAUUAAGGAAGUUGACAAACUGACCUUAGGACAAAAGCUGACAGUUCAAGUGCCACAUGCUGUUGUAGAGUUACUUAACAGUAGAGGACAUCAUUGACUUUCAAGUAGCUGUGUCAUUUAAUAUCAAGGACUGCUUUGUGAAAAUCCCCAACUCACUUUUCAGUUGGCUAAACCUCUGAACCCAGCUACCUUGCCCACUGAGCUUGGCCCCCCAACCACAGCUGUCUAGCCUUGACUGAUAAACUUUUUGUAAGUCAACCAGAUCUGCAGGUGGAACCCUUGUCUGAUGCUGAGUACACCCUGUUUAUGGAUAAAAGUAGCUCAGUCAAGGAUGGGAAACGUUAGGCUGGAUACACUGCCGUUACUACAGAAGAGGUGGUACUAGCUGGACCUCUUCCUCUGAACUGGUCUGCUCAGUGGGCAAAAUUAUGAGCCCUGAUAUAAACUCUCAGCUGGGCAAAAGGAAAGAAAGUGAACAUUUAUACUGACUCAAGGUAAGCCUUUCUGUACUGUUCAUGUCCAUGGAAUGCUGUACAAGGAGCAUGGACCUCUCACAGCAGAAGGAAAACAAAUUAAAACCAAGGACAAAAUCUGUCAACUUCUUACUGCAAUUUGGAAGCCUAAAAAGGUCACUAUUAUCCAUUGAAAAGGGGAUCAGAAAGUAAAAGACAGUAUUACCCUCAAAAAUCACAAGGCAGAUAAAGCUGCAGAAUUAGCAACUGAGGACUCCACUGGGGAAACAAACGAUUUAAAAGAAAACCUGGAAAUCCAACAUGAGAUACUCCCUGAAACCAUCCUCAAUCUCUGUAGUCAGCCCCUUUGCUAUUCCAAGGAAGAAAAUAAAUGGGCACAACAGGAAGGGGACUACAUGGGGCCAAACACUGCCUGGACUUUACCAGAUGACUGGAUAAUCAUCCCUCAGAGUCGGGCCUAUGCUUGGGUAAAACACCACCACAUCACACAUGGAGGAAAAACUGCUAUGAACCAGCUUUUAACUGCAUUCCUAAAUUAGGCUUCAUCUGUGCCUCCAUUAGCCAGAGAUGUCAAACCUGUGCAAGGAAGCCCCCAUCUGGGCCUAAACCCCCAUCCAGUAUCCAGCAUGCUGGGCUUUCCCCCUUUGAAGACCUACAGAUAGAUUUUACAGAUGUCAAACCAUGUAGAGGCUAUAAAUAUCUCCUGAUGCUUGUCUCUAUUCUGGGUGGCUGGAAGCAUUUUCUACAAAAACUGAAAAAGCCACAGGUCUGCAGAGUGCUGCUGAGAGAAGUUAUUCCUAGAUAUGGGCUGCCCCUAACAAUAGGCAGUGAAAAUGGAUCUGCAUUUUUGGUAAAAAUAACCAGAAGCUGCCUAAAAAAUUCAAAAUUGGGUGGAACUUACAUACAACAUACAGGCUACAAAGUACUGGAGGAGCUGAAAGAAAGAAUAGGACUUUAAAGUCAAUAUUGACCAAAUAUCACCAAGAAACUCAGGCAUCAUGGAUAAAUUUGCUUCCCAUGGCUCUUCUUAAGGUCCAAAGUUCACCAGGACCCACAGGAUAUACACCCUUUGAACUUUUGCAUGAAGACCUCCCAUAAUUAGAGGUCUCUGUGAGGCCCUGUAUCAGCUAGGUAACAUAUCUCUACAGGAACAACUUACAGAAUUAGGAAAGACCUUUUCCCAGAUACACAAAAAUAUAGCUAAGGCCGUAGAUACACCUGCCCAUGCAUGUAACCCUGAUGAUAUGGUUUGGAUAUAAGAUUGGGAAAAGGAGAUUUUACAGCCAAACUGGAAAGGACCUUAUAGGUCAUACUAACCAUACCCACAGCUAUUAAGGUUCCAGAAAUUCAGCUGUGGCUCCAUCAUUCUCAGAUCAAGAAUGCUCAUCCAGACGACUGCUGGGAGGCCUACUGAGAUGAGUCAACUCCUCUUAAGCCAACCCUGAUGAGACAGUGUGCUCAAAGCCCUGCUUCUGCCAUUCUGGAAGUUGGCAGGUUUACACAGAGCACAAGCUUCAAUGUGGAAAUGAAUUGCACACAACUAAGCUGUUUGUUCUGUGGGGUGUUGGGACUAAUCACCCUAGCUUGUAUGUUACUGUCAGUUGGCUUUUGGUAUGCCAUACCCCCUACUGUACAAAAAUGUUCCCUAUUGCUCAUCUGUAUCUGCUCCUACUUGGUCUGCUUGGCCCCCGUGCUUGCCAAGCAGACUCAGAACACUGGGAGUUCUAAACCCAACUUUAUGACACCAAACCCCAUAGUAAUCCUCAACCAGACUAGAUGGGAUCCCUCCCAGCCUACUAUAUCUUUAUAUUUUGAUGCACACCCUAUUCAAAUCAAAGACCCAUGUUGCAAUUCCUAUUUUACAGGGUGCAGAAGCUUAAACUGGGAAUGAGAAUAUCAAACCAAUAACAAAUAUGUCUGUCCCAAAUGUUGCCAGGCACCUGGAGGCUGAGGGUGUCUAAGCCACUGUAGGGACAGUCUAGGUUAGUUCUUCCAGUACUGGGACUGCCCCAUGGACUACAGAGGAUAUCCAAAUACCCCCUAACCCAGCUCCCAUCAAACCCAAAGUGCCAACAAGGAGCUUGCUACCCAAUAAGGUACACUGUCCAGAACCCCACCAGCCAAGAAUGGACAAAUAGUCACCAAAUGAGUGUCUGGGUAGAUGGUAGAAGAAAAGACCUGGAGAUGAUCAUAAAAAUCCAAAAUUUUGGAUCCCUCUGCCCCAUAUCAGAAUACCUACACCAAAGCCACCACUGUUCCCAUUGGCCCCUGAGGCCAAAGUAAACCUUACUGACUCACCAACACCUGACUGCUACACUUAGUUAAAAACACCUACCAAAUUCUCCAGAUGUUAGAUCCCAAAUUAGGAAAUGGCUGUUGGCUCUGCGUUCCCCUCACAGCUCUUUCCUACUGUGCCCUGAGCCUAACUAAAUGGUUCUGGUCUCAGGUCUACCUCCACUUCUGGUCCCUUGCUCCAGUCCCACCCAGCAGUGGUAUGGGGAAAUGCCUCAAGCUUUCUGAGCUCCUCUACAAAACUGAAUGUCUCAGCUGACUGUAUAGACAUUCAGACUGCCACCUCAGACUCCCUGAUGGCACCUCAUGGAACCUUUAUUGUUUUGUUCUGACAAGGUCCACCGGGUGUUUCUGGGCUCAAAAAUGACUCCCUGUGCACUUGCCUACCUCUUGCCUGACUUCUCUGUUUAUUCAGGUCAACAGGACAACACACAUGCCCAUCAGUACCACCAGAAGUAUAACCCAGUGAUACUUCCAAUCUUGGCAGGGCCCUUCAGGAGGAUCACCUGCGUGCCCCAGGCCCGUGGAUAGUUGGCCUCUCCGCAGCAAGGUCCCCCGCUGGUUCCACGAGGGGUGCAGCGGGUUCCUCAGAGUGGGCGAGCACCCAGCGAGAGCAGCAGCCUCAUCAGCACGGUCCUGUCGCAGAGGUGGACGGCGCUGAGCAAGGGCACCGAGCUCGCUGGUAACACACUUCCUGCUGCCCAGCUGUGGAAGUCUCGCACAAGAAGAUGUAAGUUGUUCACUGUUUCCUCCGAGGGGAAGCAGGAGAGUGCAGGCGGGAAGACAUGGGAAUGGGCUCCCUGCCCGCUUAAGCCAGCAGCAGAAGACACCCUGGAAAAGAUCUUUCUCCCUCGGAAAAGUCUCCACAACAUCGCAGCAUCCCGCAAACCCUUCCCGAGGCCACGUUCACAGCACACAGCCCGCUGCUGUGUCCCGUCAGAGGAGCAGGAGCCCAGGGCCCACUCCGGCCGCGUGGGAGCCUCGCUGACCUCAGGGACGUGGCCCGGGGCACGAGGGCAGGCGUCUCCUCUGUAACCCUGCUCUUUCCUGUUCCCGGUGCCCACACCCUGCACAGGCACGGGCACACGGCAGUCACUUCCACUGUCGGGCAGGAUUUGUCUGUGCCCCUCUGGCUUGCACGUAUUCCUUGUGUUCUGACAGCAGAGCACGGCUUCGCGGUCUCUUCAGUCUGGGUGCGGAGUCUGAGCAGCAUGCACUGUGGGUCUGUGUAUUUCUGGAUAUCCUGUUCAACUUUGCCUCCUCCGUGACUCCCCAGACGGGACCCGGACGGAGGCACAGGACAGCUGCAGGGCCCUGCUCCUGCUGUAACCGUGCCCCUGCCUGGGCGGCUGUCCCUCUUCCCUGACUCCAGGCUGCCGCCUCUGCCCGUCCUUCCCCCAAAGCCCAGCUGGACCUAGGGCCGCGUCCCUUGCGGGAGUGAGGGCAGCGAGUGGGCUCCCACGCCGUGUCGCUGUGCAGAGUGGACACAGCGCUCACGCUGUCUGCAGCUCCUCGCAGAGGUUGCUCGGACGAAGCAGCUGUAAGACAAAGUCAGCUUGUUUGAAAGUUGCCCACCCAGUUUUCAGCUAAAAAUUAUAAAACCAAACACAGAAGUUA